rnacentral:misc_RNA from 1 species
GUGAAGAACGUAGCGAAAUGCGAUACGUAAUGUGAAUUGCAGAAUUCAGUGAAUCAUCGAGUCUUUGAACGCACAUUGCGCCCCCUGGUAUUCCGGGGGGCAUGCCUGUCCGAGCGUCAUUGCUGCCCUCAAGCACGGCUUGUGUGUUGGGCCUCCGUCCUCCUCCCGGGGGACGGGCCCGAAAGGCAGCGGCGGCACCGCGUCCGGUCCUCGAGCGUAUGGGGCUUCGUCACCCGCUCUUGUAGGCCCGGUCGGCGCUUGCCGACACAUCAAUCUUUUUUCCAGGUUGACCUCGGAUCAGGUAGGGAUACCCGCUGAACUUAAGCAUAUCAAUAAGCGGAGGA